rnacentral:rRNA from 1 species
AACGCGUGGGAACGUACCCUUCACUACGGAAUAGUCCCGGGAAACUGGGUUUAAUACCGUAUACGCCCUUCGGGGGAAAGAAUUUCGGUGAGGGAUCGGCCCGCGUUAGAUUAGUUAGUUGGUGGGGUAAUGGCCUACCAAGACUACGAUCUAUAGCUGGUUUGAGAGGAUGAUCAGCAACACUGGGACUGAGACACGGCCCAGACUCCUACGGGAGGCAGCAGUGGGGAAUCUUAGACAAUGGGGGCAACCCUGAUCUAGCGAUGCCGCGUGAGUGAUGAAGGCCUUAGGGUCGUAAAGCUCUUUCGCCUGUGAUGAUAAUGACAGUAGCAGGUAAAGAAACCCCGGCUAACUCCGUGCCAGCAGCCGCGGUAAUACGGAGGGGGUUAGCGUUGUUCGGAAUUACUGGGCGUAAAGCGCACGUAGGCGGAUUAGUCAGUCAGAGGUGAAAUCCCAGGGCUCAACCCUGGAACUGCCUUUGAUACUGCUAGUCUUGAGUUCGAGAGAGGUAAGUGGAAUUCCGAGUGUAGAGGUGAAAUUCGUAGAUAUUCGGAGGAACACCAGUGGCGAAGGCGGCUUACUGGCUCGAUACUGACGCUGAGGUGCGAAAGUGUGGGGAGCAAACAGGAUUAGAUACCCUGGUAGUCCACACCGUAAACGAUGAAUGCCAGUCGUCGGGUAGCAUGCUAUUCGGUGACACACCUAACGGAUUAAGCAUUCCGCCUGGGGAGUACGGUCGCAAGAUUAAAA